rnacentral:rRNA from 1 species
UACGAAGGGGGCUAGCGUUGCUCGGAAUCACUGGGCGUAAAGGGUGCGUAGGCGGGUCUUUUAAGUCGGGGGUGAAAGCCUGUGGCUCAACCACAGAAUUGCCUUCGAUACUGUAGAGCUUGAGACCGGAAGAGGUAAGUGGAACUGCGAGUGUAGAGGUGAAAUUCGUAGAUAUUCGCAAGAACACCAGUGGCGAAGGCGGCUUACUGGUCCGGUUCUGACGCUGAGGCGCGAAAGCGUGGGGAGCAAACAGG